UCAAGAAUUUUAUAUUAGUUCUUUAACAGUUAAGUAAUCAAUUGAGUGAGUUAAAGGGAUGAACUUCAAGGUGUGUACAACAAAAAAAAAAAAAAAGGAUGAACUCGACACAUUGACGUUCCUUAGAGUCAUUUAACAAUAGAUUUUUUUCUUAUAAAGUGAUAAAAAAAAUUCUAUUUGUUACAUAUACAUACAAAAGAAGAAAAAAUGGCUCGAAGUUUAUUUUGUGCUUUGAUUAUAUUUCUUUCGAUUUUUCUUGUGGUUACUCAUGGCGAUCCCGAAGAACAAAUAGAAUUUGUUAUAAAAGGUGUUCCCUGUGUUAGUACUUUUGAUUGUCCAAUAACUCAUUGCUACCCUCCUUCAACUCCGCAGUGCAUUAAUGAAUAUUGCGGUUGCGUCUAAGUGUAACAAUUAUGUUGAAAA